GUGAGUAACCUGCCCUUGACUCUGGGAUAAGCGCUGGAAACGGCGUCUAAUACCGGAUACGAGCUUCAGCCGCAUGGCUAGGAGUUGGAAAGAAUUUCGGUCAAGGAUGGACUCGCGGCCUAUCAGCUAGUUGGUGAGGUAAUGGCUCACCAAGGCGACGACGGGUAGCCGGCCUGAGAGGGUGACCGGCCACACUGGGACUGAGACACGGCCCAGACUCCUACGGGAGGCAGCAGUGGGGAAUAUUGCACAAUGGGCGCAAGCCUGAUGCAGCAACGCCGCGUGAGGGACGACGGCCUUCGGGUUGUAAACCUCUUUUAGUAGGGAAGAAGCGAAAGUGACGGUACCUGCAGAAAAAGCACCGGCUAACUACGUGCCAGCAGCCGCGGUAAUACGUAGGGUGCAAGCGUUGUCC
rnacentral:rRNA from 6 species